rnacentral:rRNA from 1 species
UUAUCCGGAUUAUUGGUUUAAAGGAGCGUAGGGGAUAUAUAAGUCAGUGUGAAAGUUGCGGCUCAACCGUAAAUUGCAGUGAUACUGUAUGUCUUGAGUGUACAAGAGGUGGGCGGAAUUCGUGGUGUAGCGGUGAAAUGCUUAGAUAUCACGAAGAACUCCGAUGCGAAGGCAGCUCACUAGGGUACAACUGACACUGAGGCUCGAAAGUGUGGGUAUCAAACAGGAUUAGAUACCCUGGUAGUCCACACAGUAAACGAUGAAUACUCGCUGUUUGCGAUAUACAGUAAGCGGCCAAGCGAAAGCAUUAAGUAUUCCACCUGGGGAGUACGCCGGCAACGGUGAAACUCAAAGGAAUUGACGGGGGCCCGCACAAGCGGAGGAACAUGUGGUUUAAUUCGAUGAUACGCGAGGAACCUUACCCAGGCUUAAAUUGCAGUGGAAUAUGGAUGAAAGUUCAUAGCCUUCGGGCCGCUGUGAAGGUGCUGCAUGGUUGUCGUCAGCUCGUGCCGUGAGGUGUCGGCUUAAGUGCCAUAACGAGCGCAACCCUUAUCUUUAGUUACUAACAGGUCAUGCUGAGGACUCUAAAGAGACUGCCGUCGUAAGAUGUGAGGAAGGUGGGGAUGACGUCAAAUCAGCACGGCCCUUACGUCUGGGGCUACACACGUGUUACAAUGGGGGGUACAGAAGGCAGCUACACAGCGAUGUGAUGCUAAUCCCAAAAGCCUCUCUCAGUUCGGAUCGAAGUCUGCAACCCGACUUCGUGAAGCUGGAUUCGCUAGUAAUCGCAGAUCAGCCAUGCUGCGGUGAAUACGUUCCCGGGCCUUGUACACACCGCCCGU